rnacentral:rRNA from 1 species
GCACAACGCGAAGAACCUUACCUACUCUUGACAUCCAGAGAACUUAGCAGAGAUGCUUUGGUGCCUUCGGGAACUCUGAGACAGGUGCUGCAUGGCUGUCGUCAGCUCGUGUUGUGAAAUGUUGGGUUAAGUCCCGCAACGAGCGCAACCCUUAUCCUUUGUUGCCAGCGGUUCGGCCGGGAACUCAAGGGAGACUGCCAGUGAUAAACUGGAGGAAGGUGGGGAUGACGUCAAGUCAUCAUGGCCCUUACGAGUAGGGCUACACACGUGCUACAAUGGCGUAUACAAAGAGAAGCGACCUCGCGAGAGCAAGCGGACCUCAUAAAGUACGUCGUAGUCCGGAUUGGAGUCUGCAACUCGACUCCAUGAAGUCGGAGUCGCUAGUAAUCGCAGAUCAGCAACGCUGCGGUGAAUACGUUCCCGGGUCUUGUACACACCG